rnacentral:rRNA from 1 species
UGUAAGAAUAAAUAGUCGAACAGACUAAAUUUUUUAACUUCUACACCAAAAAAUAAUCUUAAUCCAACAUCGAGGUCGCAAACUUUUUUAUCGAUAAGUUCUCUUUAAAAAUAUUACGCUGUUAUCCCUUAAGUAACUUGAUCUUUUAAUCAUUAUUAACGGAUCAAUUCAUUAAUUCAUGAAAAAAAGUUAAAUAAAUUUUCCUAUCACCCCAAUAAAAUAUAAUAUUAAGCUUUAAAGGGUCUUCUCGUCCUCUAAUUAAAUUUAAGCUUUUUAACUUAAAAAUUAAUUUCUACAACAAUUUAAAUAAGACAGUAAAAAUUUCAUUCAAUCAUUCAUUCCAGCUUUCAAUUAAAAAACUAUUGAUUAUGCUACCUUUGCACAGUCAAAAUACUGCGGCCUUUUUCAAUGGGCAGAUUAGACUUUUUAUU